CAGGGCUCUGGCUGUUAGCCUGGGACAUGGGAGAGGGGACCCCACUGCAGCCCCCCCAGGCCUGAGCAGGGUGAAGAACCCUAAGAGGAGCAGAGUGUCUGAUAGUCCUCAUACCACAAUACCAUGUUUGUUGCGAACCUGCCUGGACAGGAGAGUGAGAUUGAAGCCUCUGAGACAAAGACCUAUGUUGGGGGAAAGGAGCAAUAAGGAGUCCAAUCCUAAUUCUGAGGACAGAUAGAUGAGAAUAGAGAGCUGGAACAUCAAGUCAGUGAGCAGAACUGCACGUGCAAUCUCACCCAGUUCUGAAUGUAUGAAUUCUUUCUUCAUUUUUGAUAAUGAAUACUCUGAAACUCUAGCCAAAAACUAAACAAGAAAGAUGGAGGUCUGUGGCAACUGAUGGACCGUCUACGUGGUGCGAAUUCCUGAGGCACACUCUGGCAGACACUGUCCCUAAGCGGUUCCAGCUGGCUCUCAGUCCCUCAAGUUAUGGUGGGAAACAGAAUUUCAGCAGGAAAAUGCCAUGAAGAAAGGAUACCAAGACGGAGUUCAAACCUUUCCUACUACAGGCGCCAUCUUGAAUUCUUAUUUUCAAAUUUUGAAUUGCAGCAACAUUUAUUAUAAUACAUAACAAAAGUAUAACCAUACACCAACAACACCCUACACAGUGUAAACACUGUGUUGCCUACGUUGCCCUAAGUGGCCUCCAGGAGAUAACUCACAAUGCCCACCGGGGCCACUCUGGUCACCAUUUUGAACUCCGCUGCCCUGCAUCCAGGUAGACAGGUGAAUACCCCUCUCCUGUUAAAACCCCAGAAAGUUUUGAACUUGCUUUUCCUGUUUGCUUGGUGUGGAGAGCUCACAUAGCAACUGCCCAGCUGAGCAGGCCGGCUCCACACACCAAACUUGCUCCUACCUGGAGUACAUGGGAGAUGGUGGAACUUCUGGGUCUGUGAGGAAAGGAGGCUGUGCAGUCACAGCUCCAUUCCAGCUAUAGGAACUUGCUUGGGGCAUGGAGGAGAAGGGCCAUGAUAGGGACAUGCAUCUGUGCCAUGUAAAAAUGAAAGAGCUGCAGCAGUAAUAGCAGAAGGCAAGGGAGGCAAAUAGUCGCCUCUGGUGUGGAGCCACAGACAUGAUGCUUCUACAAGGAGGGGGCUGGGAUCAGGGGGGUGGUGAAUAGCCUCCCCGUUGAGCUCCUCUUGUAGCCUUGUGUUCAUAACGCACAGCCCAAGACUGAAGAGCAGUGCAGGAUCCAUACUUUCUGACACAGAUUGCUGGUUAGCAAGCUACCAGGACAGUUAAAAAGCAGCUGGAAAUCUAGUAGUGUGUGAUUAUAAGAAUUCCUUUUGUGUGUUAGUGAAUCAAGCUAGCAACAGGCUGUGGUAUAGUUAUAUCUUACUCCAUACAGUUCUGUAAUAUGAUAAUCCUUAAUGACAGCUGGUGAGCACCUCCAUAUUUACAGCAGUACUAGGGGUGAAUACAUUAUUUCUUUAAUCAUAAGCAAACCAGUUGUGUUAUGAACCAGUUCUAUUUUAGGAUGACUGCAAGAGUGAAGACCCCCCCCCCCCCGCCCCACACACGUCAGAAACAUCUGAAAAAUGUUUUUUUUUUAAAUCCAUGCUGCUGUAUACAGGUGACAAACCCCUUGAAUUACCAAGCACCAUGGCAGCUGUGGGAUUACGAAAACACCUGUUUUGACUGACUACCUGAAAAAAUAAGAAAGCAAAAAUACUGUGGAAUGUAUGAUCAAAUCUCCCUGCACAGCUACUUUGUACACUUUGCUCUUUUCAGCACUAACCUUAAGUGUCACAGGGCUGUCUGAUAAGUUAAUGUAGAAUCCCACAUGAUUUCUACAACCAUGCACCCGGGGGCUCUAUGAAGAUGGCUGGUCUGGGAUCUUAAUCUUUAUAUUAGUUUUGUUCUGGUGGAUAGGGGGAGUAAGGCACUUGGCUCUCACUUAAGAUCUAAUCCUGUUACUAGUGAAGUCAGUUUAAGUUCAAAGCAGAAAAAACAUAUUUGAACAGCAAUUACCAACAUUGAUGGGAGGAAGAGAAACAGAGCAG